rnacentral:rRNA from 1 species
GACGAACGCUGGCGGCGUGCCUACUACAUGCAAGUUGAGCGCUGAAGGUUGGUACUUGUACCAACUGGAUGAGCAGCGAACGGGUGAGUAACGCGUGGGGAAUCUGCCUUUGAGCGGGGGACAACAUUUGGAAACGAAUGCUAAUACCGCAUAAAAACUUUAAACACAAGUUUUAAGUUUGAAAGAUGCAAUUGCAUCACUCAAAGAUGAUCCCGCGUUGUAUUAGCUAGUUGGUGAGGUAAAGGCUCACCAAGGCGAUGAUACAUAGCCGACCUGAGAGGGUGAUCGGCCACAUUGGGACUGAGACACGGCCCAAACUCCUACGGGAGGCAGCAGUAGGGAAUAUUGGACAAUGGGCGGAAGCCUGAUCCAGCCAUGCCGCGUGUGUGAAGAAGGCCUUUUGGUUGUAAAGCACUUUAAGCGAGGAGGAGGCUACCUGGAUUAAUACUCUGGGAUAGUGGACGUUACUCGCAGAAUAAGCACCGGCUAACUCUGUG